GGUUAUAUAGCUCAGUGAUAAAGCACAUACCUCAUAUGCAUGAGAUCCUGGGUUCAAGUCUCAGCAGUUCUU
rnacentral:tRNA from 1 species